UACGAAGGGAGCUAGCGUUGUUCGGAAUCACUGGGCGUAAAGCGCACGUAGGUGGAUCAUUAAGUUAGGGGUGAAAGCCCGAGGCUCAACCUCGGAACUGCCUCUAAUACUGGUGGUCUAGAGUUCGAGAGAGGUGAGUGGAAUUCCUAGUGUAGAGGUGAAAUUCGUAGAUAUUAGGAAGAACACCGGUGGCGAAGGCGGCUCACUGGCUCGAUACUGACACUGAGGUGCGAAAGCGUGGGGAGCAAACAGG
rnacentral:rRNA from 1 species